AUAGCGGCGUCGAGCGGCGGACGGGUGAGUAAUGCCUAGGAAAUUGCCCUGAUGUGGGGGAUAACCAUUGGAAACGAUGGCUAAUACCGCAUGAUGCCUACGGGCCAAAGAGGGGGACCUUCGGGCCUCUCGCGUCAGGAUAUGCCUAGGUGGGAUUAGCUAGUUGGUGAGGUAAGGGCUCACCAAGGCGACGAUCCCUAGCUGGUCUGAGAGGAUGAUCAGCCACACUGGAACUGAGACACGGUCCAGACUCCUACGGGAGGCAGCAGUGGGGAAUAUUGCACAAUGGGCGCAAGCCUGAUGCAGCCAUGCCGCGUGUGUGAAGAAGGCCUUCGGGUUGUAAAGCACUUUCAGUCGUGAGGAAGGUAGUGUAGUUAAUAGCUGCAUUAUUUGACGUUAGCGACAGAAGAAGCACCGGCUAACUCCGUGCCAGCAGCCGCGGUAAUACGGAGGGUGCGAGCGUUAAUCGGAAUUACUGGGCGUAAAGCGCAUGCAGGUGGUUUGUUAAGUCAGAUGUGAAAGCCCGGGGCUCAACCUCGGAAUUGCAUUUGAAACUGGCAGACUAGAGUACUGUAGAGGGGGGUAGAAUUUCAGGUGUAGCGGUGAAAUGCGUAGAGAUCUGAAGGAAUACCGGUGGCGAAGGCGGCCCCCUGGACAGAUACUGACACUCAGAUGCGAAAGCGUGGGGAGCAAACAGGAUUAGAUACCCUGGUAGUCCACGCCGUAAACGAUGUCUACUUGGAGGUUGUGGCCUUGAGCCGUGGCUUUCGGAGCUAACGCGUUAAGUAGACCGCCUGGGGAGUACGGUCGCAAGAUUAAAACUCAAAUGAAUUGACGGGGGCCCGCACAAGCGGUGGAGCAUGUGGUUUAAUUCGAUGCAACGCGAAGAACCUUACCUACUCUUGACAUCCAGAGAACUUUCCAGAGAUGGAUUGGUGCCUUCGGGAACUCUGAGACAGGUGCUGCAUGGCUGUCGUCAGCUCGUGUUGUGAAAUGUUGGGUUAAGUCCCGCAACGAGCGCAACCCUUAUCCUUGUUUGCCAGCGAGUAAUGUCGGGAACUCCAGGGAGACUGCCGGUGAUAAACCGGAGGAAGGUGGGGACGACGUCAAGUCAUCAUGGCCCUUACGAGUAGGGCUACACACGUGCUACAAUGGCGCAUACAGAGGGCGGCCAACUUGCGAAAGUGAGCGAAUCCCAAAAAGUGCGUCGUAGUCCGGAUUGGAGUCUGCAACUCGACUCCAUGAAGUCGGAAUCGCUAGUAAUCGUGGAUCAGAAUGCCACGGUGAAUACGUUCCCGGGCCUUGUACACACCGCCCGUCACACCAUGGGAGUGGGCUGCAAAAGAAGUAGGUAGUUUAACCUUCGGGGGGACGCUUACCACUUUGUGGUUCAUGACUGGGGUGAAGUCGUAACAAGGUAGCGCUAGGGGAACCUGGCGCUG
rnacentral:rRNA from 1 species